GGUUGUAAACCUCUUUCAGCAGGGACGAAGCGAAAGUGACGGUACCUGCAGAAGAAGCGCCGGCCAACUACGUGCCAGCAGCCGCGGUAAGACGUAGGGCGCGAGCGUUGUCCGGAUUUAUUGGGCGUAAAGAGCUCGUAGGCGGCUUGUCGCGUCGACUGUGAAAACCCGCGGCUCAACCGCGGGCCUGCAGUCGAUACGGGCAGGCUAGAGUUCGGUAGGGGAGACUGGAAUUCCUGGUGUAGCGGUGAAAUGCGCAGAUAUCAGGAGGAACACCGAUGGCGAAGGCAGGUCUCUGGGCCGAUACUGACGCUGAGGAGCGAAAGCGUGGGGAGCGAACAGGAUUAGAUACCCUGGUAGUCCACGCUGUAAACGUUGGGCGCUAGGUGUGGGGGACCUCUCCGGUUCUCUGUGCCGCAGCUAACGCAUUAAGCGCCCCGCCU
rnacentral:rRNA from 1 species